GACGAACGCUGGCGGCGUGCUUAACACAUGCAAGUCGAACGGAAAGGCCCUGCUUUUGUGGGGUGCUCGAGUGGCGAACGGGUGAGUAACACGUGAGUAACCUGCCCUUGACUUUGGGAUAACUUCAGGAAACUGCGGCUAAUACCGGAUAGGAGCUCCUGCUGCAUGGUGGGGGUUGGAAAGUUUCGGCGGUUGGGGAUGGACUCGCGGCUUAUCAGCUUGUUGGUGGGGUAGUGGCUUACCAAGGCUUUGACGGGUAGCCGGCCUGAGAGGGUGACCGGCCACAUUGGGACUGAGAUACGGCCCAGACUCCUACGGGAGGCAGCAGUGGGGAAUAUUGCACAAUGGGCGGAAGCCUGAUGCAGCAACGCCGCGUGCGGGAUGACGGCCUUCGGGUUGUAAACCGCUUUCGGCUGUGACGAAGCGUGAGUGACGGUAAUGGGUAAAGAAGCACCGGCUAACUACGUG
rnacentral:rRNA from 1 species